rnacentral:rRNA from 11 species
UCAGAAAGGGAGAGUGUGCUUGUUGUAGUUUAUCUCAUCUGAUCUUGGAAACUAAACAGAGUUAACCUGGUUACUACUUGGAUGGGGGACUGCCAAUGACUGCCAGGUGCUAUAUGCU